AUCACCUCUCAGUCUUUUGACUGAGAUCAAGUGUUGUAUCAGUUCUUAUCAUUUUAAUUAAACUCUGAUAUGUCCUCUAUCCCAGGACAGUCUAUUCAGUGGAUUCUUUAAAGUAGGAGAUGGAAUAGCGACUUGCUCCAAUCAUUCCAUGCCUGAACCUAGCACUGAUGUACCUCCAAGGGGAAAUGAAGCUGAU
ensembl:snRNA U2 U2 spliceosomal RNA